rnacentral:tRNA from 1 species
AGUGAAAUGCCUGACAAAAGGAUUAUCGUGAUAGGAUAAAUAAUGUAAUUUUAUUACUUUCACUA